GAUGAACGCUGGCGGCGUGCCUAAUACAUGCAAGUCGAGCGAACGGACGAGAAGCUUGCUUCUCUGAUGUUAGCGGCGGACGGGUGAGUAACACGUGGAUAACCUACCUAUAAGACUGGGAUAACUUCGGAAAACCGUAGCUAAUACCGGAUAAUAUUUUGAGCCGCAUGGUUCAAAAGUGAAAGACGGUCUUGCUGUCACUUAUAGAUGGAUCCGCGCUGCAUUAGCUAGUUGGUAAGGUAACGGCUUACCAAGGCAACGAUGCAUAGCCGACCUGAGAGGGUGAUCGGCCACACUGGAACUGAGACACGGUCCAGACUCCUACGGGAGGCAGCAGUAGGGAAUCUUCCGCAAUGGGCGAAAGCCUGACGGAGCAACGCCGCGUGAGUGAUGAAGGUCUUCGGAUCGUAAAACUCUGUUAUUAGGGAAGAACAUAUGUGUAAGUAACUGUGCACAUCUUGACGGUACCUAAUCAGAAAGCCACGGCUAACUACGUG
rnacentral:rRNA from 1 species